rnacentral:rRNA from 1 species
AGCCCAACGAGAUCGGGAUAACACCUGGAAACAGAUGCUAAUACCGGAUAACAACAGAUGAUGCCUAUCAACUGUUUAAAAGAUGGUUCUGCUAUCACUCUUGGAUGGACCUGCGGUGCAUUAGCUAGUUGGUAGGGUAACGGCCUACCAAGGCGAUGAUGCAUAGCCGAGUUGAGAGACUGAUCGGCCACAUUGGGACUGAGACACGGCCCAAACUCCUACGGGAGGCAGCAGUU